AGUGAACGCUGGCGGUAGGCUUAACACAUGCAAGUCGAACGGCAGCACAGUAAGAGCUUGCUCUUACGGGUGGCGAGUGGCGGACGGGUGAGGAAUACAUCGGAAUCUACUUUUUCGUGGGGGAUAACGUAGGGAAACUUACGCUAAUACCGCAUACGACCUACGGAUGAAAGCAGGGGAUCUUCGGACCUUGCGCGAUUGAAUGAGCCGAUGUCGGAUUAGCUAGUUGGCGGGGUAAAGGCCCACCAAGGCGACGAUCCGUAGCUGGUCUGAGAGGAUGAUCAGCCACACUGGAACUGAGACACGGUCCAGACUCCUACGGGAGGCAGCAGUGGGGAAUAUUGGACAAUGGGCGCAAGCCUGAUCCAGCCAUACCGCGUGGGUGAAGAAGGCCUUCGGGUUGUAAAGCCCUUUUGUUGGGAAAGAAAAGCAGCAGGUUAAUACCCCGCUGUUCUGACGGUACCCAAAGAAUAAGCACCGGCUAACUUCGUG
rnacentral:rRNA from 1 species